GGNGGAUGGGACCGCNUAGAUUGUUACUUCNAGCNCACAGAAUGGGAGCUUGCUCCCUGAUAGUAUAGCGGCGGACGGCCGAGUAACACGUGGGUAACCUGCCUGUAAGACUGGGAUAACUCCGGGAAACCGGGGCUAAUACCGGAUGGUUGUUUGAACCGCAUGGUUCAAACAUAAAAGGUGGCUUCGGCUACCACUUACAGAUGGACCCGCGGCGCAUUAGCUAGUUGGUGAGGUAACGGCUCACCAAGGCAACGAUGCGUAGCCGACCUGAGAGGGUGAUCGGCCACACUGGGACUGAGACACGGCCCAGACUCCUACGGGAGGCAGCAGUAGGGAAUCUUCCGCAAUGGACGAAAGUCUGACGGAGCAACGCCGCGUGAGUGAUGAAGGUUUUCGGAUCGUAAAGCUCUGUUGUUAGGGAAGAACAAGUACCGUUCGAAUAGGGCGGUACCUUGACGGUACCUAACCAGAAAGCCACGGCUAACUACGUGCCAGCAGCCGCGGUAAUACGUAGGUGGCAAGCGUUGUCCGGAAUUAUUGGGCGUAAAGGGCUCGCAGGCGGUUUCUUAAGUCUGAUGUGAAAGCCCCCGGCUCAACCGGGGAGGGUCAUUGGAAACUGGGGAACUUGAGUGCAGAAGAGGAGAGUGGAAUUCCACGUGUAGCGGUGAAAUGCGUAGAGAUGUGGAGGAACACCAGUGGCGAAGGCGACUCUCUGGUCUGUAACUGACGCUGAGGAGCGAAAGCGUGGGGAGCGAACAGGAUUAGAUACGCUGGUAGUCCACGCCGUAAACGAUGAGUGCUAAGUGUUAGGAGGUUUCCGCCCCUUAGUGCUGCAGCUAACGCAUUAAGCACUCCGCCUGGGGAGUACGGUCGCAGGACUGAAACUCNCAGGAAUUGACGGUGGCCCGCACAACCGGUGGAGCAUGUGGUUUUAUUUCAAAGCAACGCGANGAACUUUACCAGGUCGUGACAUGCUCUGACAAUCCCAGAGA
rnacentral:rRNA from 1 species